rnacentral:tRNA from 1 species
GUUAGAAUGCCAGCCUGUCACGCUGGAGGUCGUGGGUUCGAUCCCCAUCCGGAUCGCCA